rnacentral:rRNA from 1 species
UUCCGGUUGAUCCCGCCGGACCCGACUGCUAUCAGAGUGGGACUAAGCCAUGCGAGUCGACGUAGCAAUGCGUGGCGAACGGCUCAGUAACACGUAGUCAACAUGCCCAGGGGACGUGGAUAACCUCGGGAAACUGAGAAUAAACCACGAUAGGUCACGAUUUCUGGAAUGGAUCAUGGCAUAAAUCUACAUGGCCCCUGGAUUGGACUGCGGCCGAUCAGGCAGUUGGUGAGGUAAUGGCCCACCAAACCUAUAACCGGUACGGGCUCUGAGAGGAGAAGCCCGGAGAUGGGCACUGAGACAAGGGCCCAGGCCCUAUGGGGCGCAGCAGGCGCGAAACCUCUGCAAUAGGCGAAAGCCUGACAGGGUUACUCUGAGUGAUUUCCGCUAAGGGGAUCUUUUGGCACCUCUAAAAAUGGUGCAGAAUAAGGGGUGGGCAAGUCUGGUGUCAGCCGCCGCGGUAAUACCAGCACCCCGAGUGGUCGGGACGAUUAUUGGGCCUAAAGCAUCCGUAGCCGGUUCUGCAAGUCUUCCGUUAAAUCCAGCCGCUCAACGGAUGGGCCGCGGAGGAUACUAUAGGACUAGGAGGCGGGAGAGGCUAGCGGUACUCAGUGGGUAGGGGUAAAAUCCUUUGAUCCAUUGAAGACCGCCAGUGGCGAAGGCGGCUUGCCAGAACGCGCUCGACGGUGAGGGAUGAAAGCUGGGGGAGCAAACCGGAUUAGAUACCCGGGUAGUCCCAG